rnacentral:rRNA from 1 species
UACGUAGGUGGCAAGCGUUGUCCGGAAUUAUUUGGGCGUAAAGCGCGCGCAGGCGGUCCUUUUAAGUCUGAUGUGAAAGCCCACGGCUCAACCGUGGAGGGUCAUUGGAAACUGGGGGACUUAGUGCAGGAGAGAAGAGUGGAAUUCCACGUGUAGCGGUGAAAUGCGCAGAUAUCAGGAGGAACACCGGUGCGAAGGCGGCUUUCUGGCCCGUU